GAGCGGUAACAAUCAGUUCACUGUGCUGCUGCAGCAGAUACAGUUGAUGUUAAAGUUUUUGUAAGUAAGCUGAAUUUCACGAAUUCGUGAUAAACUAUUUGAAUUGUUUAUCAUAUUAAGGAAAUGCCUCAUUGUGUAGUUAUUGGCUGCAUAAAUGGUCCCAAGAAAAAAAUUGGGCUAGCUUCGCUGCAGAAUAACGUUGUCGAAAAGAAAAGUAAAGUCUCAUGUUUUGGCAAACCAAAGGAUCCAAGUGUCUUGAGCAUGUGGGAAUACAACAUUCCUAGAGAAAACGGAGCUGUUUUACCAAAGCGUUACUCUGUUUGUCAUGAACACUUUGAUGAAUCUCAGGUAAUCAAAGAUGAUGUUACAAUCAUCAACGGGGAGGAAUUUAAAUUGCCAAGAAUAAACUGGAGAUUAAAAGCGGGGGCUUUCCCAACAAUCUUCAAAGGAACCCCUGAAGAGUUGCUAUUGAAAAAGAAUGGAAGAAAACCUCCUACUGUUCGAUUACCUCUUGGAAAAAAACCCAACUAUAAAACACGCCAUUCAGUUGCAUUGAAGAAGGCACAUACUGUGAAAAAAAAAGUAUCAAGAGACAAUGAGGUUGAUCAAUCUAUGGACACAAAUCCUGCCGAUUCAUUGUUAAUGGAAAAACAGCCAGAAGAACAAAUUGUAGAAAUUGAUGAACUGGAACCACCAAACCAACAUUUUUCUGCUGAUGAUGCAUACCACAUUCAAUUACCUUCAAGUUAUUGGUAUGUCAGAAAAACUACUGCUGAUAGCUGUAACUUCUUCGAAGUUGUGGUUAAAGAUGUAACCGCAGUAAUUGAAAAGAAUGUCAACAUUGAUUUCAAAAAUCACAAAGUUUCUGUAACCUUUCAAUCCAGAAAAGUUCCUAAUUUUGAGGGAUCUUGUAUUCCAAGUACUUCAAAGGGUAUGGAAGCAUUAUUGCUUAGCAUACACGAAUCGAAAAUGUGUCCUGGCAUUAUGCACAACCCUACAAAGCAUCCACAUCAUAGUGAAGUAGUUCGUAAUGGAAAUCUGAUUUCUAACAUUUGGAGAAAUAACAGCUGUAGGAUUAUGAUGGCCACCAACGAAGAAUCAAAGAAAGCCUGUCCCGGUUGUAAACUACUGGACAUUUCUUUAAGGAAACAAUUCAAACGCCAAAAAACUGUGAAUACCUUACUGAAUCACCGCUACAUGAGUCUGAAACAACUGGCUAAGAAAGUCAGUCUUCAGAAAGGAAAAAUGAAUUGCAGUUUUAAAAAAGACUCGAAAAAAAAACAACAUUCAAAUCAAAGAACUAAAUUGAAGAAUAAGGAACUUUGCGUUGAAAUCGCAUCCAUUCAGAAAGAUAACCUUCAAUCUAUACAUUCUUGACGACCUUGAUGAUAAGGUGUCCAAUUAGUGAUGAAGCUUGGGUGAGAUUAAGUGGCUGAAAUGGUCUAUGUCAUCGGAAGGAGUCAACUGAGUUCGUUCGUUCAUUUACAUUAAGUUCCAUAACAUGUAAGUUCUUGCAUUUCCAUACUAAAUUAUCUUGUCAACUUUAUGUGAACUUGGUUAUACAUGGGCCAUUUCAAAUAAUAGUCAUUAGUUUAAAAGUCAUUUGAAAGUUUUCAAUGUUCAGUCAAAGCGUUCCUUGACACUGUAAUUUUGAAUUGUGACCAUUUUUAAUCAAUGAUUAUAAGAAAAAUCAUGUACCCAUCCCACAUAUCAAUGAUAUACUAUUUUGUAUAUAUUUCAAAUGUAAUCUAAACGUAAAAAAGGAAAAACUUAACGAUCGUUAUUGCGUAAAAAAUUUUUUAAAAAGGGAAAUCCUUUGUUGUUACUGAGUGACUCCAAAGUAAAGGGACCUCCCUAAUUCCCUGAAAAACUAUCCUUUCCCUCCUCUCCUUUUUGAGAUCAAAGUUUACCCGUACGAAAAAAAACGGGGAAGGUUUUCCCUUGCUGACGUAUAUCAAACCAGGACCUAAUCCCAGUCGACAGGUUUUCAUUUAAAUUGGCUGACUUCAUUUGGAGAGAGAAAUCGCCAUCAUCAACAGGCACUCAGUGUUAGUGCUUCGGAGUAUGAACUUGAACCUCUAGAGCAGAUUAUAUCAUGGAUUUCAAUAACACGUUCGUCAUCAUCACUAGUUCGUCUGGACAAUUCAACGUCGUGCCAGCUCUUCCAACCAGAAGUCUCAACUAUUUUCUCAUCUGCCUGGCCUUUUUCAUCUUCUGCCCACUGUUUUACAUCUUGUGUCGCUUCGUCAAACUUCUGUGUUUUCCUGGAAGCGUUCCGGCGGAUGCAACGGCACUUUCGGCUGCGGAGUCCGAUGAAAACUCGGACAUUGGCGUUUACGUGAUUGACAUAGAUUUGAUCCAAGGUUACAUUAGGAAUUCAGAAACGAGCAGCGAUCGCCAAAAUCACUAUUGCUUCGCUUCGGCCACGCCUCGCGAAACUCGUCGACUUUCACCGAGCCAAAUUCCUAAAACCUGUCCGUCCUAUGGCGAACUGUACGACUUGGAUAGCCCGCCCCCAACUUACGAGGAGUGGGAAUCCAAGACUUUUUUAAACACGAUUCCGCCAGCGACGGAAUCAACUCCAGCCAGCAAAGCACCACCCAGUUUUUCUCGUUUGCAAUUCGAACAAUUGUACAGAAAUUUAAUUUAUUUUGCCUUUUACAUGUUUUAUAGGCUCAAACGUUUCGUUUAAAACAGGAAACAAUCAUCUACUGGUGUAUCUUCACGUCUUCGUGUGGUGCAACAGCGCGGGGAACUUUUGUUUCCCCCCUCAAGAAAUGGAUUUAUGUCAUCAGUUACAUCUUCCCGUAGACGACCGAACUUUGCGGGACCAUUGGACUCCCAUCCUCGGGUAUAUUUGCACGCAAGAGAACCUCGACCUGUUAGUCGUCUUCGUGAGGUGAGCAAGAUUUAAUAUCCGACAUGGAAGUGAAAUUCAAAAGGGACUUAAAGUGGACCACAUUUUAUUUUAUUUUAGUGAUUAUUUUUGGUGGUCUUCUUCGUUUUUUCAUACCUUUGAAUAUCCCAUGGAUCGUCAUCUCCUCCAGCGCGGUUUUUUUUUCCUUCGCCGUAACUUGCUUAGCUAAGGCUUGCUUGGUGAAGCAUCUUAAAACGGGGCAAUUAGAAAACCAGUUCGCUUCUGAGAUUAACGAGUCCCUUUCAAAUGAUGUCAUACCGAAACAAAAUCAAUCAACCUGUCCGUCUUACAACGAUUUAUUCGAGCUUGAUAAGGAACCACCAAAUUACGAAGAGUGCCAGGCCAAAAACGAAAGCAGUAACGCUGUCCCGGAGCAACCGCCACGUAAACAACGUGACCAGAGACAGAACGUCUAUUUUGCCAAAUUUUGGACAAUUCUGGGUAAUUCAAAUGAAGCUUCGUCACCCGCUUUCGAGAUAAAAGCCCCAGAAGAGUGCAACACCAACAACUUACCUCCAAUCUACGAAGAGUACCGGGCUAAUGAAAUUUCCAUCGCUAUUCCUGAUGAGAUGGCGAUGAGAGAGACGGACGCCGACACUGCUGCUGUCCGUUCAGAUGACACAUACUCGGUCUUAAUACUUCGUCUCGAUAUUUAAACCUCCACGUCCUACACCAAAUUAUAUUGAGCUUGAUAACCUACGCAGAGCUUCCAACUUGUAGAAAGAUACAAUAACUUUAAGGAGAAAUCCAAUGUUUUCCGUAUAAAAAGAAUUUGGAAGCAGAUCCCUCCAAAGAACUCCAAGACCAAAGAAAGAUGCAUUUCAACUUUGAAUAUCCGGAACGUCGAGGAUAAACGGCAUGGAUGGAAGAGACAUUUGAAGUUCGGAUUUGCCUUUCAUUUUCGGCGCGGAAUCGAAAACUUCCCCAUAGCCCGUGGAGUGAAUGCAAAAUAACUGUAAGAUGACAAAUGGGAGAGAAAUAAAAAGAUAAGGACACAUGCGCCUUCAAAGUUUUUGCGAAAGUGUCACGAAAACUGAAGUGGAUCGUUCGUGUAAUUUGCUGGAAACUGCAACCUGUACUAACCUGUAAUCGACGUUUCAUUUUAGAAGUUAGAGAUCCUUUACCCGCCUUCAAAUUGCCUUCAACACCCAAAUGGUAACUAUCUCAAGACUAUUUCCAUCUUUUAACUAAAUUAUCGUUGCUAUGCUAAAGAGUUAACCGAUUCUUUAGAAGUGUAUGCAGUUCUUUAAAAAUGCGAACAUUCGUUUUGACGUACGUGACAUUCUUCUCCGUUCGUUAUCUAGUCUCUUUUAUCCUUUGACAGCUGCAUGAAUUUUAAAAAAGCAACAGCAAAUAAGACGCACCGAUUGGUACGACCUUGGAUUGUAAGUUUCCACGUAAAAAAUUUCCCUGGGUUUUUCCGUCAAGUCUGACCGUUUCUAGUUCGAAGCUGUUCAUCGCGCUGUUCAACCUACUUUUUUUUACUGAUUGAAUGCUUAUAAUGAUCUUUUCGACUUUCAUAUCAAUGACUCUAUUUUCUUUUAAAAGAUGUUUACGAGUGUGCUGUGUAUGGGGGGGUAAUAAGUGGGUCAUCGAAUUGCGAAUUUAUUUGCCUCGAAAUUACACCGGAUGGUGUAACGAAAAGGGGAAUUUUUCCAUCCCGAAUCCUAGUGCCCACGUACCUGCCAGAGCAAGUUUCACGUCGCCGUCAAGCAUCUUCAUGAGCAGACCUGAAAGUGACGCUGAUAGCAACGGCGCUAAGUCGGCUAACAACAUGGACUCGAGUUCGCCAUUCAAAAUCUUUCACAUCACCAAGUUCAACGAUCAUUCGUCAAAUCAGUUAAAUGAAGGAAAAGAUGGAGAAUAUUCAAAGUUGAUGACGGGCACUGCUGUCACUUGCCUUGUUCUUCUAUUGGUCAUUUGUAUUUUCUUGCCCUACUGCUAUCAUAAAUGCGCAUGCAGAAAUGCUGGACGUGCGGAUGCCCCUUCGCCGUUACUUCCCAAAGCAGCACGCUCAUCCCUGUACUUCCUUACCGCCCCAGUCCUAGAAUUCCAUGAAAACGACAUGGAAGGAUUUUGGAAUUCAGAAUGUAACAUCGAAUUCGAACAAUCGCCGGUAGUCUUUAUCCCUGAGCCCGUUCAAGUUGCAAUUUCAGAAACCUGCCCGUCUUACCGCGAAGCAUUGGAGCUAAAUAAUCCUCCUCCGACGUACGAAGAAUGCAAGAAGAUUUUUUCUGCCGUUCCGGAAGUGAUUCGAAUCUCAACCGAAGUGACGGAAGCAAUUUCAAUGGACACGCCUACUCCUACGUAACAAAAUGGAACGUCUGCCGUGAUCGAGGACUAUUACGUCAUGCGUGUCAUACGGCCAACCAUAAAUCAAACUUGAAUUUGACGUAAUAAUUCCCCACUUUUGUUUUCACUCUUUCAUCCAGCUAUUGUUAUUAACAGUUCUCUUCACUCCUACCUAGCUUUAGCAUAACAUUCUGCUAAGAAUAAGGUAACUAGCAAAAUGUGCAGUGUUGCUGGGGAGGCCUUUCUGCUGUAUUAUAUGCAUUACAUUUUUUUUUUUGUGUUAUUUCCUAUUUCAUUCAUUCCGUUUGAAGUUAAACUAGGUCACUAGAAUUAAAACGACCGAUAAUUUAAAGAAAUUCUUUUAGGCGUUGUCGUGAUUACCGAAGCCUGUGGUUCGGUUUACAAAUUCACACAUCGUUUUUGUAUUUAUAAUUGAUGCUAUGUUGGGAUAUGCAAAUCUAACGUCUUAUCACACAGGAAAACAACAAAACACGAUGGAUACACGGAAAAGGAUACUGGGUAUAUGUUUUCAAGACUUAUCAGAAGGAAACCAAUGUUUGGCUAAAUUUAUUCAGGCCACAACAGGCCACAAUUAAAAGCCGAUAUUCUGAACUGCUCCUUGGCGGGAACCAAACGCUCAAUUGCAGUCUAGGAUUACCACACUCCGAUUACAUAGCUAACGCACGAAUUUUCCUUUUUUCAAUAGGCUAGUAGCAUUUAGAUGCUUUCCGAAUCAAAAGAAAAUUCUAAAAUGGAUUUCUUCCGUGGAUGUUUGACUCUAAUUGUCACGCCAUUUUUGAUCGCCACCUUAUUCGUUUAUUCAAUUCUACCAAAAAUGCGCAACAUCCACGGUGUGAACGUUAUGUGUUUUUUGGCUUCGAUGAUCUUCAUGAACAUCUCUUUUGCCUUACGCUUGCUCAUUAAAAUCAUGCCACCCGGUGUUUGUACUAUAAUAGCUAUUUCACAUCAUUUUGCCUACAUCGCCACUUUUUCUUGGCUCAACGUCUUGUGCUUUGGAGUUUGGCGGAUGUUUAGUUUCAUUAGACCACCGAAACACACAUCCGGUUUGGGUAAACGGUUUUUCUAUUCCUCCCUUUACGGAUGGGGUAUUCCGUUGGUCAUCGUGGUCGUCGGGCUAAUCGUCCAGCACAGCGAUGUGCCAGACUACAUCAUUAAACCGAGGCUUCCUUCAGGAAUGUAUUGCUGGUUUGAUCAUAAGUAUAGAGGGUCAGUAAUUGCGUAUUUGUACGGACCUUUAAUUGCUAUGAUCGGAGCCAACAAUAUCAUGAUUGUUUGGGCUGGGAUCAAGUUUUGCCAGAGAAGCGUGGAAUCGUCGCAAGUGACCAACGUUUCCCGUAAAAAACAAAGGUAUUACUUGUUUAUAACACAUCAAUUUUAUUCUCACUACCAAUCUAAUCGUAAAUGAGUCGCCCAAAUUGCAGGUUUAAAGUCAUCCUGAUCUUUGUGUUGAUGUGUCUACCGUGGUCAAUACUCAAUAGACAUGAUUUUUUUCAUGGCGGCUAUCAGUUUUAAUCGCCUGGUUGUGGGCAUAUUCAACGCAUUGCUACCAAUUUUCAUUUUCAUAAUCUUAAUCUGUAAGCCGAGCGUGUGGAAGAUGCUCAAACUCAAAUUCCCGCGUAUGAGUCCCUUCUUCUCGACCUGUGAAAAACUGGGGUCAAAGAUAGUCUGUAAGAAAAGCAAACAUCAACCACUCGUUGCUGUUGAAGAAAACUCAUCUAAUUCGAAUAACACGACCGGAAUUAAUAAAAUUGGCUAUCAACAUCCUGCCAAAGACGAAUCGACGGUCUAAAACAAUCUUCUGUGAAAUGUGAAACACAAUUCCGAUUGAAAUGGAAUAAGACAUCAUUAAUUGCGUAUAGCUUUUGAUUAGAUUACUACGCUAUAUUUUUCGUAAAAUUAAUAUUUUCGUACUCGUAGGUAGUUUCUUGAAAGGCGAGGAUAAAAAAUGUUUUUUUUUUUCUGAACAUUACGUGUUACCUGACCUAACCUAACAAAGGUGCUAUGAAGUUGUUUCACUCAACUGUAGAUGUCACUAUUGUCAUAUAAACAAAUCCAAGCAGACGAAAGUCAGCACUCGGCAGUGCCCUGCAAUGUGUUUGCAAAGUUUACACGUGGUUCAGGAAGUCAUCAAGUCAAGUACAGAAUAGUUUAUCAAAUUAAAACCAUAUAAAAAUAAGUAAUUUGUGGUUCUUUUGUGAUUGUGUGUACAACCUUUUUGUGGAUACAAAGAAUGUUGCAUUAUGAUUGAAUUCUUCACACUAAGCCGUGGUUGUUUGUUCAAUAGCUUGUGUCUUCUUACUGGUCAAUAAUUGUAUUUGGUAACCACAUGCAAAACAUAUUAUUGUAUUCCAUAGAGAGAAGUGAUCUAAACCUUUGUUUUCCACCUAUAUUACUGUAUUGUAAGAAGUUUUAUGUUCGGGAAUACUUGAUGUAAAGAGUUAUAAGUUAGUAACAAUUGUUUCAGCAGCAAGCAAAUAUUUCCCUGUUAAUAUUGAUGAGAAAAGAGAACACAAGUUUCAUGAACAGACUUGAAAGUGACAUUAAAAGUGACUAAGGCCGCUAACAUGGACUGCAGUUUCACUAUUAACAAUAAUAUCUUUUACAUUGUCACCAAUGAUCAUUCGCCAAACCAUGCAGCUAAACAAAGAUGGAGGAUAUUCAAAGUUAAUGGCAGGUACUGCUGUCACUUGCCUUGUUCUUCUAUUGGUCAUUUGUAUUUUCUUGCCCUACUGCUAUCAUAAAUGCGCAUGCACAAAAGCUGGAUGUGCGGAUGCCCCUUCGCCGUUACUUCCCAGAGCACCACAUCCAUCCCUGUACUUCCUUUCUGCCCCAGUCCUGGUAUUCCAACACAACGAUAUUGCAGGAUAUUGGAACUCAGAAUAUAACAUCGCAUUCGAACGUGCCCCGGUAGACUUCAUCCCUGAGCCCGUUCAAGUUGCAAUUGCAGAAACCUGCCCAUCCUAUCACGAUGCAUUGGAGCUAAAUAAUCCUCCUCCAACGUACGAAGAAUGCCAGCGCAAGGGAUUUUUGCUGCUGUUCCGGAAGUGAUUCGCCUAGCUCUCAACCGAAGCACCUUGCUUGACCAAAACAUUCUGCUAAGAAUAAGGCAUUGUCGUGAUUACGGAAGCCUGUGGGUGGGCGUAAAAUCUAACACAUCCUAAAAUGACGCUCUGUUGGGAUAUCCAAAUCAAACGUCUUAUCAACCGGAAAACAACGAAAUAGGACUACACGUGAAAGAGUAUACUGGUAUUUUUCAAGACUUCUCAGAAGGAAACCAUUGUUUUGCUAAUAAUAUAGAAAUGCCACUAUUCUGAACUACUCAUUGGCGGGCACCAACCGCUCACUUCCGGCCUAAGACACCACAUUCCCAUAGCUAUAUACGCCUUAAUAUAUUUUUUGUUAUUUCCAUAGUCUCAAAUAGUAGCGCUUAUAGAUGUUUACCGGGACAAAGUGGAAAGUCUAAGAUGGAGUUUCUCCUUGGAUGUUUUACUCUCUUUGCUUCGUUAUUUUUGAUCGCAACUUUGAUCGUUUAUUCUCUUCUAGAAAAAAUACGAAAUAUCCACGGUGUGAUUGUUAUGUGUUUUUUGGCCUCCCUUACCGUCAUGAACAUCUCCUGCUCCAUUCGUCGCUUGCUCAUUGGAAUCCCGUCGACCGGUCUUUGCCUUACGAUUGCAAUUUCACAGCAUUUUUCCUUUAUCGCCACUUAUUCUUGGCUCAACGUCGUGUGCUUUGGAGUUUGGCGGAUGUUUCGUACCGUCUCACUGCCUACUCAUAAACCCAUCUGGGGCAAACAGUUUUUCUAUUCUUCCGUUUACGGAUGGGGUAUUCCGUUGGUCAUCGUGGUCGUCGGGCAAAUCGUCCAAAACUGUGAUGUGCCAGACUACAUCAUCAAACCAGGACUGGCUUCAAAAAUGUAUUGCUGGUUUGAUCGUGAGGAUAGAGAACCAAAAAAUGUGUAUUUGUACGGACCUAUAGUUGCCAUGGUCGGAGCAAACUAUAUCAUGAUUAUUUGGGCUGGGAUCAAAUUUUGCCAGAGAAGCGUGGAAUCGUCACAAGUGACCAACGUUUCCCGUAAUAAACAAAGGUUUAAAGUGAUCCUGAAUCUCUUUUUGUUAAUGUGUAUGCCCUGGUCAGUAGGCGUAAUUGUUUGCGUGGCGGGUAACAAUAUCGACUACGAGAUUUUGAGAACAUCCAACAUACUGUGGCCAAUUUUCAUUUUCAUCAUCUUCGUCUGUAAGCCGAGCGUGUGGAAGAUGCUGAAAUUGAAAUUCCCGUGGAUUAGUCCCUUCCUCUCGACUUGUGAAAAAUUGGGGUCAAAGAUAAUCUGUAUGAAAAGCAAACAUCAACCACUCGUUACUGUUACAAGGAACCAAUUGAACUCGAUUAACAUGGCUGGCAUUAGUGGUAAGUUUACCCAAAUUGGCUAUCAACGCCAUACUGAAUCGACGGUCUGAAACAAACAUGCGUCUAACUACCUCCACCUGUGAUAUACACAAAAAAUUCCGUAAUAACGAUGAAUAUAUAAUACGAUUAUCUAUGAGAAUGUUGUUGUGAAAAGUGGAUAUUGAUUUGAAAACAACAAGUUUAAUGCAAUAAAUAAUGGAAAAGUUUUAUCCUUA